GGGAUCAUAGUAUAGCGGUCAGUACUUCUCGUUGCGGUUGUGAUUCUGUCUCUGUCUUAUAAGAUACAGCUACAACAUAUCCGAAAGGACCUAGGUUCGAUUCCUCGUUACCCAUCCCCU